rnacentral:rRNA from 1 species
UACGAAGGGGGCUAGCGUUGUUCGGAAUCACUGGGCGUAAAGGGCGCGUAGGCGGCCGAUCAAGUCGGGGGUGAAAGCCUGUGGCUCAACCACAGAAUUGCCUUCGAUACUGUUUGGCUUGAGACCGGAAGAGGUUAGUGGAACUGCGAGUGUAGAGGUGAAAUUCGUAGAUAUUCGCAAGAACACCAGUGGCGAAGGCGGCUGACUGGUCCGGUUCUGACGCUGAGGCGCGAAAGCGUGAGGAGCAAACAGG